CUCACUGCUUCGCAUAUCCUCUCCCGACUAUUUGCUCUCUUCUCAUCCGUCAGUGAAACCUCAAAAUAAAUGUAUUUCGUCGUUCAUAGACUUCUAGUAUAGUCAGACAAUCAUCGUCAUCAUCUCAGCGACGAGACGACAAACAACCGACCAUUUUCGUAGUUCCUCAAUUUGGUCGGAGAGCGUCUCAACACAUCCAUCGUAAAACGGAACGGACGACGAUGAGCCAGCAGAAAGUGAACGAAUCUAACUGCGAAUCGCCUCCCAGCCCAACUAAGCAAGCCAUAAUCAUAACGUAAACAUCGUCAUAACAGCAGCAGCAGCACUCACACACUCGCGAGAGCUCGGAAACCCAUACGCUGACGGUGACCUAGUCGAUUGAUGGUUGCGCUCCGUUCAUGUCUAUGAGCGUUGAGCGUAGCAAGCUUUGCCUACUGGCUGCUAUGGCUACUAGCACUGCUGAGCACUAGAAGUGGGAGCAGCAAGUUGACACGUUCGGUGGACGGAGGCGGAAAGCAACUUCAGGAUCUUACAUUUCUAGCGUUACUUUCGGAAAGACGGCCAAAUGUGGAUUGUGGACAUUCUGAGGAGUUCUUCCAGAAUAAACUCUAUGACCAUUACUGUUACUUUUGGUAGAUUUUUUUUUACGGGGAACAUACCCUUUCCACAUGUUACGCUAGGGUUUUUCCUAUUUCGGAUCCCCAACCGAACCACAGUCAGCAGCUUUAAGGUUUGCGCUUUGUGUGCUCUCCGGGUUGUGAUGCUUUUUCCAACCGUUAGGUGGGUAGCUGCCAAGGUUGCCCUGCGCUGCUUCGAAGAAGAGCAACAAAGGGUCAUCCGUCCGUGGAGCAGGAUGUAAUUUUUGGGGUUUCCUCUUUCUGUUGGCUGGGAUGGAUGGAUGGAUGUAACCCAUUCAUGUAUUGCUGUGUACCUUUCGAUCGUAGCACGGCAAAACGUAAGCUUAAGUAUCUGCUAGAGAUGGACGUUGGACUAGCUAACAGUGACUACUUAUAGAGCGAAGCCUUUGGGCUAACUUGUCUCGUUCGGUAGAUAAUGAACUACACAUCUAUUGGUAGAAGGUCGCGAACACAGAAACCGAUUUUCUAACCGUUUGAUGCCAAUGAUAGUGAUAAGGUUAUCUACCUCGCAAUAAUACAUACACGAAUGGAGUAGAAUUAAAUUAGAACUAUCGAAGUUCAGAAAACCAGUUCAUUUGAAACAGAACGAUAGUUAACAUCCCUGAAAAAGGUUCAAAAUGAGCCGAAAAGUCGGCAAAACUGUAAAAUAUUUUAGUCCCGUUAUAAAUUAUUUUAACAAAAAUGUUACAAAAAAGCUGCUAGGGCUUUGAAAAUUUUCCAUGAUCGAAAAUGUAUCGCAAGUUGUAACAAGCUUCAUAAAUAACAGCAGCGAAGGAGAGCCCCGAAGAAAGAGCGAUGAAAAAACCCAUUUUUCUCGCUUAUAUACCAUUGGUGGCAGGUAGUUUACUCUACUGGAAUGAUAAGCAAUCCCCCAAUAUCUGAUAGCAAUAAUAGUGUCUCCCAGGUUUGGAGCUUGUUUCGAUGGGCUUUAUCAUGCACUGUUAUCCCCCGAUAUAAUCAGAGCAGUAGCAGUAGAUGAUGAACAGACUAUCAUGAAGUGUAGCGGAUCAUAAUUGUUACAGAGCGCGAUAAGUGAGAGAUACUCUAAAUUUUCACAGAAUUCAACCCCUACUUUGAGUAAUUGAGCUCAUUCAUUUUUUGGAUUCAUAUACUAUUGAGCUCUUUGCAAUCUCAAGAUUCUCCUUGACGUUAUACGGUUUUUAGCAGUGAAUGUAUCUUACUGCGCGGAAGAGUUUCUCAUAAACUUCAAUAACAUGAAGCACAUCAUGUGUACAAAAAGUUAACAUUAGAAAUGUAUACGUAAAGCUGUUCGAUAGUAAAUUUUCCGUUUACAACGAGCUAUUUAACUCUCAAGAUAAUAUUGCCGAGUCCACUAUCCAUUUCUUACAGACCGCAAUAGAUUUCGUCAAAGAAGAAGAGUAAUUCGAAGAACCCCAAUCCGAAGAAAGUUGGAGAUUUCAAAUCACGGUUCCCAGACCGUUACUAUAAAAAAAAUCUCCAUCAAAUUUGAGCUCACCAGUCGUUAU